UGGGUGACUCCCUGAAACUUCUAAGCAAGAGGAGAAAAUGUAUCCUCCCAAAGCAGGGAAGCAAGCCACCAUGUGGUGAGCUGCCCUACUGAGAAGCUCACAUAGCAAGGAGGGCAGCCUCCAGCCUGCAGCCACUGAGAAACUGAGGUCCACAGGGACUGAACCCUGCCAAUAACCUCUUGAUGAGCUUGGAAGUCAAUCCACCCCCAGUUAAGCUUGGAGAUGACUGCAGGCCCAGCCAUCACCUUGACUACAGCCUCACGGCCAACCCAGAAGCAGAGAGCCCGGCUAAGUGAUGGCCAGGUUCCUGACUCACAGAAACUAUGAGAUAAUAAAU
rnacentral:lncRNA from 1 species